rnacentral:rRNA from 1 species
GGUUAAGCGACUAAGCGUACACGGUGGAUGCCCUGGCAGUCAGAGGCGAUGAAGGACGUGCUAAUCUGCGAAAAGCGCCGGCGAGGUGAUAUGAACCUUUGACCCGGCGAUGUCCGAAUGGGGAAACCCAGUGUGAUUCGUCACACUAUCGUUAACUGAAUACAUAGGUUAACGAGGCGAACCGGGGGAACUGAAACAUCUAAGUACCCCGAGGAAAAGAAAUCAACCGAGAUUCCCCCAGUAGCGGCGAGCGAACGGGGAGCAGCCCAGAGUCUGAAUCAGCUUGUGUGUUAGUGGAAGCGUCUGGAAAGUCGCACGGUACAGGGUGACAGUCCCGUACACGAAAGCACACAGGUUGUGAACUCGAAGAGUAGGGCGGGACACGUGGUAUCCUGUCUGAAUAUGGGGGGACCAUCCUCCAAGGCUAAAUACUCCUGACUGACCGAUAGUGAACCAGUACCGUGAGGGAAAGGCGAAAAGAACCCCGGCGAGGGGAGUGAAAAAGAACCUGAAACCGUGUACGUACAAGCAGUGGGAGCACCUUCGUGGUGUGACUGCGUACCUUUUGUAUAAUGGGUCAGCGACUUAUAUUCUGUAGCAAGGUUAACCGUAUAGGGGAGCCGAAGGGAAACCGAGUCUUAACUGGGCGUUAAGUUGCAGGGUAUAGACCCGAAACCCGGUGAUCUAGCCAUGGGCAGGUUGAAGGUUGGGUAACACUAACUGGAGGACCGAACCGACUAAUGUUGAAAAAUUAGCGGAUGACUUGUGGCUGGGGGUGAAAGGCCAAUCAAACCGGGAGAUAGCUGGUUCUCCCCGAAAGCUAUUUAGGUAGCGCCUCGUGAACUCAUCUUCGGGGGUAGAGCACUGUUUCGGCUAGGGGGCCAUCCCGGCUUACCAACCCGAUGCAAACUACGAAUACCGAAGAAUGUUAUCACGGGAGACACACGGCGGGUGCUAACGUCCGUCGUGAAGAGGGAAACAACCCAGACCGCCAGCUAAGGUCCCAAAGUCAUGGUUAAGUGGGAAACGAUGUGGGAAGGCACAGACAGCCAGGAUGUUGGCUUAGAAGCAGCCAUCAUUUAAAGAAAGCGUAAUAGCUCACUGGUCGAGUCGGCCUGCGCGGAAGAUGUAACGGGGCUAAACCAUGCACCGAAGCUGCGGCAGCGACGCUUAGGCGUUGUUGGGUAGGGGAGCGUUCUGUAAGCCGUUGAAGGUGUGCUGUGAGGCAUGCUGGAGGUAUCAGAAGUGCGAAUGCUGACAUAAGUAACGAUAAAGCGGGUGAAAAGCCCGCUCGCCGGAAGACCAAGGGUUCCUGUCCAACGUUAAUCGGGGCAGGGUGAGUCGACCCCUAAGGCGAGGCCGAAAGGCGUAGUCGAUGGGAAACAGGUUAAUAUUCCUGUACUUGGUGUUACUGCGAAGGGGGGACGGAGAAGGCUAUGUUAGCCGGGCGACGGUUGUCCCGGUUUAAGCAUGUAGGCGGAGGUUCCAGGUAAAUCCGGUACCUUUUAACGCUGAGGUGUGAUGACGAGGCACUACGGUGCUGAAGUAACAAAUGCCCUGCUUCCAGGAAAAGCCUCUAAGCAUCAGGUAACAUCAAAUCGUACCCCAAACCGACACAGGUGGUCAGGUAGAGAAUACCAAGGCGCUUGAGAGAACUCGGGUGAAGGAACUAGGCAAAAUGGUGCCGUAACUUCGGGAGAAGGCACGCUGAUAUGUAGGUGAAGCCCCUGCGGGUGGAGCUGAAAUCAGUCGAAGAUACCAGCUGGCUGCAACUGUUUAUUAAAAACACAGCACUGUGCAAACACGAAAGUGGACGUAUACGGUGUGACGCCUGCCCGGUGCCGGAAGGUUAAUUGAUGGGGUUAGCGGCAACGCGAAGCUCUUGAUCGAAGCCCCGGUAAACGGCGGCCGUAACUAUAACGGUCCUAAGGUAGCGAAAUUCCUUGUCGGGUAAGUUCCGACCUGCACGAAUGGCGUAAUGAUGGCCAGGCUGUCUCCACCCGAGACUCAGUGAAAUUGAACUCGCUGUGAAGAUGCAGUGUACCCGCGGCAAGACGGAAAGACCCCGUGAACCUUUACUAUAGCUUGACACUGAACACUGGUCCUUGAUGUGUAGGAUAGGUGGGAGGCUUUGAAGCGUGGACGCCAGUCUGCGUGGAGCCGACCUUGAAAUACCACCCUUUAAUGGCUGGUGUUCUAACGUAGACCCGUGAUCCGGGUUGCGGACAGUGUCUGGUGGGUAGUUUGACUGGGGCGGUCUCCUCCCAAAGAGUAACGGAGGAGCACGAAGGUUAGCUAAUCCUGGUCGGACAUCAGGAGGUUAGUGCAAUGGCAUAAGCUAGCUUGACUGCGAGAGUGACGGCUCGAGCAGGUGCGAAAGCAGGUCAUAGUGAUCCGGUGGUUCUGAAUGGAAGGGCCAUCGCUCAACGGAUAAAAGGUACUCCGGGGAUAACAGGCUGAUACCGCCCAAGAGUUCAUAUCGACGGCGGUGUUUGGCACCUCGAUGUCGGCUCAUCACAUCCUGGGGCUGAAGUAGGUCCCAAGGGUAUGGCUGUUCGCCAUUUAAAGUGGUACGCGAGCUGGGUUUAGAACGUCGUGAGACAGUUCGGUCCCUAUCUGCCGUGGGCGCUGGAGAAUUGAGGGGGGCUGCUCCUAGUACGAGAGGACCGGAGUGGACGCAUCACUGGUGUUCGGGUUGUCAUGCCAAUGGCACUGCCCGGUAGCUAAAUGCGGAAAAGAUAAGUGCUGAAAGCAUCUAAGCACGAAACUUGCCCCGAGAUGAGUUCUCCCUGACCCUUUAAGGGUCCUGAAGGAACGUUGAAGACUACGACGUUGAUAGGUCGGGUGUGUAAGCGCAGCGAUGCGUUGAGCUAACCGAUACUAAUGAACCGUGAGGCUUAACCUU